GCCUACGGGACGCAGCAGUAGGGAAUAUUGCUCAAUGGGGGAAACCCUGAAGCAGCAACGCCGCGUGAAGGAAGAAGGGUUUCGGCUCGUAAACUUCUAUCAACAGGGACGAAAGAAAUGACGGUACCUGAAUAAGAAGCCCCGGCUAACUACGUGCCAGCAGCCGCGGUAAUACGUAGGGGGCAAGCGUUAUCCGGAAUUACUGGGUGUAAAGGGUGAGUAGGCGGCAUGGUAAGCCAGAUGUGAAAGCCUUGGGCUUAACCCGAGGAUUGCAUUUGGAACUAUCAAGCUAGAGGACAGGAGAG
rnacentral:rRNA from 1 species